CCUGCAGUCUUCUCGUUUAAUUGUCCUUCACUGACUCCUUUCCUGACACUUCCUGUUUCCCUUCAGCUUAAUAUCCUGCUUGCCCUUGGCAUUUUCUUCUGUUUCCUCUGAAACAAACCUUCACAACUGCCCUUAUGUUGGCUUUGGAAACAAGAAGGAUGAAGCCAUAUUUCCACAGCUGCAACUGUGUAAGAUUCUGCCAGUUGUCAACCCAUGCAGACGACAUCCCUAAGCAUGUUGUUUAGAGUUUCCAAAAACCAGGAGAGAGACACGGUAUUCCCAGCUGCACAAGCAAAGAAAUCAAGGCAUUUUUUUGAACAUGUAGACGCUCACAAACUGCAUGCUGCGGGGGACAACAAAGAUGUGGGAAGUGACAAGGUCGUAAUGGGAACCUGAGGGCCUCGCUGCAUAUGUCAGCCGUACACAUGCUGUCAAGAUCAACAACAUCAUUUGCAGGGAAAGAGGCGCAGGCAAAUACAAGAUGGAAAUGGGUCACUUUUGGUAUAUAUAUAUGCGGUAAAAGCUACCCUCUAUGUGUUCAGAUGACAGACUGAGGGGUGAGACAUCUGAUUCCGGGUUUAUCCAUUCCUUUCAUACACAACCUCUACAGCGUUUCUUUUUCCCUCUGGUAGAACUCUCUUUUCAGGCACCACUAGCCACUUAAGAGAUGUAAAUCUUUGAGGAGUGGGUUGCAAUAAAUUGUAAGCUUUAGCAUCUCUGAAAACUUACUCCACUUUAAAUCGGACAGCAAAAAUAGAAGGUGAGUUCCUUCCCUUUGGGGCAUCAGAAAAUGUUUGCAUAUGUUUUGAUGUGUGUAAAUGUGCUUUGCUAUUUAUUCAUGUCUUGAUGUAUGCACAUGUUUUGCAGCAACUGAUUCAUAACCCCAGUUUUUAACUCUCUUGCUGGGACCAAGAUGAGGCAGUGCAGAUGGCAGUGCGUGUGCAGCAAAUCCAAACCAUUUAAAUGUUUAAGAGCAGUGCUGGCAGUGCAACGGCAUAUAAAACAAAAAGCCUGUGGAAUGUUAAUUGAAAGGAAAAACCACAAAGUGCAAAGUGGGUUUGCUUUAGCUCAUUUUAAAAACAGGACCUCACAGCAGCGAGUGAUCACAGUACACAAACUGUCUGUGAAAUGAAAAUAAGUAAACAGAAAAACACCAAAUCAAAUACAAAAACUGACAUAACAAGGUUGCAUUGUUUCCACGAAAACGUGGGUAGUAUUAUACAUUUGACUGUUUUGAAUGCCUUUGUUUUAUGUUCUUAAAACACUAAGGUUGUAAGAAUUCAUUUUAAUUCCUUGACAAACAAACAAAAAAAUAAAAAUAAACAAAAGAAAAGAUACUAAAAUGCCAACUCUGUCAAUUUUGACCUGUUCAGUCAGUAGGGAAGUACUAUUCUUAGUGCAGUGACUCUGCCGUCCACCAGGGGCAGACUUACAAAAGUGUAGCCUCCAGUCUAUUGACUGCCUGUACCAUGAUGACACGAACACCCUGCUCUAUUCUUAUUUUUUAAUGCCACAUGUAAUUAUGUCCAGGAAUAUUAUUUACAGUUUUAGUUCAGUUUUCAGUUUGAAUCCAUGUCCAUGUUUUCACCUUUCUGGCAACAAAUUUUAGUCCAAACCAGCUUUUAACACAAACUAGCCAACAAUAAAAUCUCAAUUUUUAGCACAGUUUCCUCAUAACAUAACCAAGGCACAUCCAUGGUUCUUUGGGUUUGUUAGAAAACACUCUGAAGAUGGUGUUGCUUAGUUUUUCACCAAUGAUUGAGUCUUCUGACAGUCAUUACAAUCGUCUGUAUCUGCACUGUAAUCAUCCACUUGCUUGUCGUCUUUCAGAUUCUCUUGAAUAUAAAACCCUGGGUUGGUAAUAAUGUAAGGGAUUGUCCAUAUUAAAAGACUGUCCUCUUCAUAAACCUUUAAUCCGACUUGUAUUUUGAGAUUCGACAGCUUUUGGCUCUUACUUUCUGGAUCUUAAGGACUUGUCUGACUUUUUGUAGAACUUUUGAUCUCUCACUGGCACUGGCACAUGCUGCGUGAGGCUGGCCCCAUGGAUGCUCUGGAUGUGUCCUUUUCAGUUGCAUCUUUCAUGAUAAACAAGCUCCUUGUUGACUGUUCGUGUAGCGGCUGAUUUAAUAUCCAUGUGUUGUGUCAGGGAAGGGCUGCUCUGAGGAGGAGCCAACUGCCCCCCUUUGAAAUGAUAAUGGGCCCAUGUGGCAUGACAGAUGCAGGUGAAGAGGGAGGGAAGGCUGCAGAGAUGGAUACUUGGAUGCACAAAGAUAUGAAGAAAGUGAAUGUGAUUGAUGGUAAAUAGUAGAGUGUGUGUUAUUUUAACACAGUGUUCAUAAAGAUAUUGCAAUGAAAAGAGAAAGUGGUCAAACAAAGAAACUUUGAAUACAUCAGCCAUCAUGGACUGAAUGUGAUUAUCAACAUAAAUCAGAUGCUGUAAAAUUCAGAAAGAGUGUGAAUAAAAGUUUCACAAAC